AGGAUAUAGGGAGCCACUGUCUGGCAGGGGGACUGAUGCAGGCAGUUGAACUUCUAUCAGUUUCUAAACCAUACAGUCUUUGGUUCCAUUCUCGUAUGGAUGUGAGGUCUGUGCUCCAGCUUGCUUGUUUUUUUUCUUUCACCGCUGUGCACACUCACACACACACACAAAAUGAUAUUUGGCUAAAUGAUUUCAGUGGUAACGGGGCAUGCUUCGUCAAUGCAAUGAUGGAGUGUCAUUCCAGAAGUUCUUAAAAGCUGCAAAACACUCACUAGCAGGGUAGAUGGCUAUGCUAACGAGCUAUCUAGCUGAUAGCUUUAGCGUUCAUCACAGGUUUGUUUAAUGGUGCAUUCGAGUUAAUUCUAGUGAUAUGGCACAUAGGAAACAAGGUAAGUCCAUUUCGCUUCUAACGCCAGACGUAACGUUAGCUAACAUUAGCUGGUUUUACAAGUUUGUACUAGCUAGCUAUCCUGCUAGCAAGGCUGCUACUCACUUCGCGCAUCUCACUGUGUCAAACGCAAGUGGCAUCCUGCCCUGUCAAUUGUGUGACCGGUGUUUUUGCAAUACAUUCAUAGAUGUAUACAUCUAUUAGCUGCUGUUGUGAUGAUUCCCCCCCCCCCCCCCCAUUUGUCCAUUAACUACAUUUUUAUUUGAAGCCUAUGGCUUGUACUUGACAUGGACAGCAAAGUAAAAUAAAAGUUAAAAGAUGCUACACAUAAGAUUAUAUAUAUACUUUUUACAACAGAAGCCGCCCCUGAAGGGAGAAAUCAAUAGGCAAAUAUCUUAGCCAAUCACAACAGUGGCAGUUAAGUAAUGUUGUGAAACACUAUCAUUCCACUAUUAGCGCCAGGUAUAUUUGACAUAUUUAGACAUUACUAUGCAAAAAAAUAUGUGAAGCACCUUUAAGAAUGUUAGUUAACUUUGUUUCAGUAUUCCAGUCUAAGGUUCUUCAAGAUGCUGUACCUUACCUACCAGGCCUGUGAAAGAAUCCAGCUCUCCACCCCUUGAGACCUCUGUGAAACAAAAGUAGGCCUAGAGGAGGACGGCACUAUCACUGGAGAAAGAGAAGGCGAUAUCGAGUGCGGUGGUCGGGGUGCCUUGUAAGAAUCUGGCGGAGAUAGAGGGAUAACACUAUCCCCAGCCAGGCAGACGAGUGCACAUUACAAGACGAGUGCAGAGGGAUCUGUCACGCCUUCAGCCAGCAUGCAUAAAUACUGUGGAUUUGUUGAGAACACUCAUGAGUCCAACAAAGAUGAAGAGGUAGAAGAAGACGAUGGAGGAAGAAGAAGGAGAAAUGGGAACUAUAGCUCCAGGAGGUGGGACAGUGGUGGACGGAGCGGGCCAGGUUACAGGAUCCAACCCUGGGGACCUCCAUGGAGGAAGGAGUGUGGCUCAUCAAGAAGAGGAGGAAGCAACGUCAUAAACAGAAGCUCUUGUCUCUGGGUCUGGUGCCGCGUGCUGCGGCUCGAGGGGGGGAGGAAGAGAAGAGCAGCUGAAGUGAUAAUCUUCCUCAGGACCACACAAGAUCUAUGUGUCUGAUUGUGAGUGUGACAUACCAGGGCUGCUAAUCAACCCAGAUACGGUCACAUAUAGCCUAGGCUGUGCUUCAGUCUUCCUAAGAGCUGGCCAAAAGUGCUGAAGCAUAGUUCAUUUUAUCACUUUCGGGAUUGGCAGAAAAUAAAUAAUUUGAACAGCACUGUGCAGAGCACACGCACAUUGAAAGUGAAAGCACAGCUCAUUAAUAACUAGCCUAUAACAACUUGAGGACCUUGAGAGAUUUAAGAAUCGAGGUGUAGAGGUGCAUUGAGGUGUUUGGGUUUACUUCAUCAUUCUCAAAUGUAAUGGACAGGCUCAGUCAUCUGGUCUGUCAUAAUCCCUCCAUGACUUGCCUCUGGAGGGCUAGACAGACCGACAGUCAGUCAGUCCAAAGAAUCCCAUUGGUUCCAGGGAUUAAGGUUUCUCUGUUGGUGAAUUACUGUGGAAGGCUAAGAAGGAAGACCUCUGGAAAUGUCCACAGUAGUUCAGUUAAAGGGGCCAGAUGCUCCUGUUCCUUAAAAGGCACCUCAGUCUAGAGAAAGACCAGGUGAUUAGACACAGGCCCAUUCAGCAACGGAGUUUAUAAUGGUUGGUGGAGUAAUAGUAUACUCACUCCACUACCAAGCAGGUUAAUCUGGUAGUGGAGGGCCUUCUGACCAGCCUGUACAAUGGAACAUUCCCCCCUGCUGUUUUGGCCCAGCUCCACAGCCUCUAGUCGCUGGUGCAGCAACAGGACACAGCAAGGAUGCCAAAGGAUCUGCAGGAGCUCCAGAACAGCUCUACCAUGUCUACUGGUGAUGCCACUGCAGUUGUGUCCCUGUUUCAGUACUGGAUCACAGACAUCCCGCCCAUGCAGAGAGAAUGGAAAACAGGCCAACCUACAACAUAACCUUCCUAGUCGAGCCAACCAACAACACAACCUUAGACUUUCCUAGAUGUUCAGGGUUUUUAACAAUACUGCUGACGGAAAACAUGUCUGACUUAAUUAAUUGUGAGCCCAUGAAACGGAGUUAAGUACAUACCGUAAGCUCACUCCACAGCUAGCUUUAAAUGUCGUGGAUGGAGCCAUCCAAUCGGUACCUUUUGGGUGGCUCAAACCGUUGGAAUGUUGUCAAGGAGGGAGGCCAUGUGUGUUAGCAAAGCAGAGGUCUCGAGUUCGAGCCAGGUACGAGCCGAAUCGAGGAAGUGAUACCAGACAAAAUUAAUUAACCGUUUAAUGGAUUUUCCACACAGAAAAGUGAGGCGAGCAAGUGUUUAAAAAAAAUUAAUAAUUAUAAAUGAAAACAUUAAGUGGAUAAGGAAUAACAUUACUUGACCACAUUGUCCUAUGCACCUGUGUGGGCUCUAGAGUUAUAUUAUUCCAUGUGAAAACAUACACUAUUUUUCUUAAAAAGAAUGCAGAUGUUACAAUGUUGUUAUAACCAUGAGAAAUGAAACACACUAAAGUAUAA